GUUUUUCGAGAAUCCUUCAAAGGUGAGCAUCUCAUUGUUUUUAUUCUAUUUAGAAGUUUGUUGGCUUUUGCUUUAGAUUGAAUCAAACAAGUGACUUCCAGAAUUUGCAUGCUGUAGAAGCAACUUGUUUGUGAGAAUAAAUUAGUUGUUUUUGAUGAGCAAUGGAUUUGUCUAUUCGGUUUUUGAUGAUAUAUUGUUUGGGGUUUAAAGGUUUUGGGAAAGGAAAAGGGACACAAAGGUUAUGGUAUUAUGCUGUGCUUUAAUGAUUUAAUGUUUUCACUGUAAUUUUAUGAUAAUUUAUGCUUUUACAAUUAGUAUGAAUAAGAUUCUACUUUUCUCUUCAGUAUAUAUUUUGCUUUUCUGAAUUUUAAAAGGUGUCUCUUGUUUAUGUUAAGCUUGACCAAAGAGCAUUACUUCACUAUCUUUCUUUGGCUUAUUUAGAGGAGGAUUUCUUGUAUCCCCAAUAUUAUUUAUUAUCCUCUUUUCUUUCUCAUAACUCUUCUUUGCUACAAAAUAUAAAAAACAUAAAUAAAAAGAAAAGAAAAGGGUAUUUUACAAAUUAGUCCCUAAGGUAUGUCAAUGUAUACACUUAGUCUCCAUAUUUUUUUAAACCUAACGAUUUCAUCCUUAAAGUUUUAUUCUAUUAAUAAGUUGGUCACUCCAUACUAAAUCAGCUCAAUUUCCGUUAGUCAAAG
rnacentral:misc_RNA from 1 species